rnacentral:lncRNA from 1 species
AGCUAUACUGUGGACUUGGUGUUGUUUAAUUAAAAUAAUCUGUCAAAAUCUAUUUAGUCUAAAAGGAGAAUGAAAGAAAGAAAGAAAAAUUGUUCACUCCAUUGUAUUUUCAAAGCAUUUGCCCUUUCAAUGAAUGUCAUGAACAGGGAAUGUUUCCAGCGAUCAAUACUUGGAUGGGAGGAAGCUUUCCAGCACUGCUGAGUGGCUUUCACAGCAGCUGUGAUCAAGAUGGAGGGCUUGUUGUUUUGUUUUUUAAUUUUAUUUCCUUGCUCUGUAAUAUUCAUUGAUGUAAAUAUUAAUACAGACCUGAUGUUCAUCUUGUCUUUGCAAUAUUUUUCACAGAAAGAGUUUUUCUCCCAAUAAAAUGAACGAUGCCUGAGAAUGCAGAAGAGGAUGUGCUGACUGUUAUUGGUUCCCCUAUGAUCAACAAAGGAGGAAAGAACAAGAAAGAGUUCACCUGGGAAUGGCUCACAGCUCUCUCCUGUCAAAAGUCUUUGUACAGAAGGUUGCAAACUUCCUGUGGGGCCUGAGUGGAGGCUUGCUGCAGAAUAGUCCAUUGCUCCGAGGGCAGUUAAAGGACAGUCCCAGUGCUGGAAAAAAGGCAAAGACCUGGCUAACAGAAUAGCCCCAGUGCAGCAAGUUUGGGUAACAGUUCCUCCGGAGCAAGAAUUGAAUGGGAGCAGAAGAGGCUUAUGGCUUCCCCAGCAAACUUGUGCUGGUUGAGGUUGCACCUUGUACAUGUCCUUGGAGAGGAUGAACUUUCUCCUUUAUGGCCCUUGACCACUUCCGGAGACACAUGAAGAACUAGUGCAUUGUCAUUAAAUGAGGUAUUAGAAUAGUCUGAGCCCAGGAAAUUUUUACUUGCUCUCAUGCCAGGAACUGCUUGCCUAAUAAAACAGGCCUCUUCCCAAAGACUGAGAGGGGA